rnacentral:rRNA from 1 species
ACGCUCGACACCUACGAGAGGCAGCAGGUGGGGAAUAUUGCACAAGUGGGGGAAACCCUGAUGCAGCGACGCCGCGUGAGUGAAGAAGUAUUUCGGUAUGUAAAGCUCUAUCAGCAGGGAAGAAGAUGACGGUACCUGAGUAAGAAGCCCCGGCUAACUACGUGCCAGCAGCCGCGGUAAUCUGAGCGGGCUGGCAAGGC